UCCGGUUUGUCACCGGCGGUCUCCCUAGAGUUCCCAACUAAAUGAUGGCAACUAGGGACAAGGGUUGCGCUCGUUGCGGGACUUAACCCAACAUCUCACGACACGAGCUGACGACGGCCAUGCAGUACCUGUCACUGGGCUCCCGAAGGCACUCCCCAAUUUCUUGGGGAUUCCCAGGAUGUCAAGCCUUGGUAAGGUUCUACGCGUAGCGUCAUAUUAAACCACAUCAUCCUCUGCUUGUGCGGGUCCCCGUCAAUUCCUUUGAGUUUUAGCCUUGCGGCCGUACUUCCCAGGCGGCAUACUUAUCGCGUUAGCUUCGUCUCACAGGGGGUCGAUACCCCAUAAGACUAGUAUGCAUCGUUUACGGCGUGGACUAC
rnacentral:misc_RNA from 1 species